rnacentral:rRNA from 1 species
UACGGGGGGGGCAAGCGUUGUUCGGAAUUACUGGGCGUAAAGGGCGCGUAGGCGGUUGGAUAAGUCAGCUGUGAAAACCACGAGCUUAACUCGUGGCCUGCAGUUGAGACUGUCUGGCUUGAGUGUGGGAGAGGAGAGUGGAAUUCCUGGUGUAGCGGUGAAAUGCGUAGAUAUCAGGAGGAACACCAGUGGCGAAGGCGACUUCCUGGCCUGUUCUUGACGCUGAGGCGCGAAAGCUAGGGGAGCAAACGGG